AAUUGGGCGAAAGGCGGGGGCCAGUAACUCCCCGAGGCUCCCCGCGGUCCCGUGGGGGGCGUCGUCCGCGCAAUGGCCCUCGCCCCGCGGGGCCCGCGGUGGCGGAGCCUCCGCCGAAGGGCGGAGGUCAACCGCCUUAACCGGGGGAACCAGGUCAGGCCCGGAAGGGAGCAGCCUAACCCCGGCCGCGGCGCGUUCGCGGGAGAACGGGGGGAGCGCGGGCGGCGCUGACCCCCGCGGGGGCGCCGCGGGG
rnacentral:SRP_RNA from 1 species